CUACGGAGGGUCCAAGCGUUAUCCGGAAUCAUUGGGUUUAAAGGGUCCGCAGGCGGUCAAUUAAGUCAGAGGUGAAAGCCCAUCGCUCAACGAUGGAACUGCCUUUGAUACUGGUUGACUUGAGUUAUACGGAAGUAGAUAGAAUAAGUAGUGUAGCGGUGAAAUGCAUAGAUAUUACUUAGAAUACCGAUUGCGAAGGCAGUCUACUACGUAUAUACUGACGCUGAGGGACGAAAGCGUGGGGAGCGAACAGGAUUAGAAACCCUAGUAGUCC
rnacentral:rRNA from 1 species